rnacentral:tRNA from 1 species
GCCAGCGUAGCUCAGUGGUUAGAGCGUCAGCCUGUACACCAGAGGGUCACAGAUUUGAUUUUCUGUCAAGGGCA